rnacentral:rRNA from 1 species
GAAACUGAGAGUAAUACCGUAUACGCCCUUCGGGGGAAAGAUUUAUCGGAGAAGGAUCGGCCCGCGUUAGAUUAGAUAGUUGGUGGGGUAACGGCCUACCAAGUCUACGAUCUAUAGCUGGUUUUAGAGGAUGAUCAGCAACACUGGGGCUGAGACACGGCCCAGACUCCUACGGGAGGCAGCAGUGGGGAAUCUUGGACAAUGGGCGCAAGCCUGAUCCAGCCAUGCCGCGUGAGUGAUGAAGGCCCUAGGGUCGUAAAGCUCUUUCGCCAGGGAUGAUAAUGACAGUACCUGGUAAAGAAACCCCGGCUAACUCCGUGCCAGCAGCCGCGGUAAUACGGAGGGGGUUAGCGUUGUUCGGAAUUACUGGGCGUAAAGCGCACGUAGGCGGAUUGGAAAGUUGGGGGUGAAAUCCCAGGGCUCAACCCUGGAACUGCCUUCAAAACUCCCAGUCUAGAGUUCGAGAGAGGUGAGUGGAAUUCCGAGUGUAGAGGUGAAAUUCGUAGAUAUUCGGAGGAACACCAGUGGCGAAGGCGGCUCACUGGCUCGAUACUGACGCUGAGGUGCGAAAGUGUGGGGAGCAAACAGGGAUUAGAUA